AGGACGAACGCUGGCGGCGUGCUUAACACAUGCAAGUCGAGCGGAAAGGCCCUUCGGGGUACUCGAGCGGCGAACGGGUGAGUAACACGUGAGUAAUCUGCCCCUAGCUCUGGGAUAGCUCCGGGAAACCGGGAUUAAUACCGGAUACGACCACUUUAGACAUCUGUUGUGGUGGAAAGAAUUUUGGCUAGGGAUGAGCUCGCGGCCUAUCAGCUUGUUGGUGGGGUAACGGCCUACCAAGGCGACGACGGGUAGCCGGCCUGAGAGGGCGACCGGCCACACUGGGACUGAGACACGGCCCAGGCUCCUACGGGAGGCAGCAGUGGGGAAUAUUGCGCAAUGGGCGAAAGCCUGACGCAGCGACGCCGCGUGGGGGAUGAAGGCCUUCGGGUUGUAAACCCCUUUCAGCAGGGACGAAGCGAAAGUGACGGUACCUGCAGAAGAAGCGCCGGCUAACUACGUGCCAGCAGCCGC
rnacentral:rRNA from 1 species